rnacentral:misc_RNA from 1 species
AGGCACGCAACCUCUUCUUAAGUUGGAGGCUGCCAAGAGGUAGACUACAAGACAUUCCUUUUUUCCUUUUCAUUCAAGUUCAACUGUGUAGCAUCAGAUGAGUUCAGUGAUGGUAAGAUUGUCUUAAGACAGAUAAUAGAAGCAAUAUGACAACCUUUAUGAGAAUAGUCGUGUAAUUUUGCUUUUUGCACCUAUUUGUAAGAUUUACUAUUCCCCCGG